CUUUCAACGGAAAAGCUCGCUCGACAAACAAGGUUCAACGCACGCAUGAUCACCAGCGGAAGCAGUUUUCAAAACGUCAACGAAGCAGCCUGCGGGAUCCAACAUGACUGCAAUGCGUUGGGUGCGUGACUUCGGAAGCUGCCUGCUGAGCCUGGCGUGCGUGGCCUUGUCCAUAUACUGCGUUGCUCGUGUCUCGUCUUCUCAAGCUGAAGCAAAACCAGAGUCUCGUUGUCCUUCCCAAAUGAGGAAUGCCAGGAUU